rnacentral:rRNA from 1 species
UAGGGAAUCUUCCACAAUGGACGCAAGUCUGAUGGAGCAACGCCGCGUGAGUGAAGAAGGUUUUCGGAUCGUAAAGCUCUGUUGUUGGUGAAGAAGGAUAGAGGCAGUAACUGGUCUUUAUUUGACGGUAAUCAACCAGAAAGUCACGGCUAACUACGUGCCAGCAGCCGCGGUAAUACGUAGGUGGCAAGCGUUGUCCGGAUUUAUUGGGCGUAAAGCGAGCGCAGGCGGAAUGAUAAGUCUGAUGUGAAAGCCCACGGCUCAACCGUGGAACUGCAUCGGAAACUGUCAUUCUUGAGUGCAGAAGAGGAGAGUGGAAGCUCCAUGUGUAGCGGUGGAAUGCGUAGAUAUAUGGAAGAACACCAGUGGCGAAGGCGGCUCUCUGGUCUGCAACUGACGCUGAGGCUCGAAAGCAUGGGUAGCGAACAGGAUUAGAUACCCUG